CCCGCACAAGCGGUGGAGCAUGUGGUUUAAUUCGAUGCAACGCGAAGAACCUUACCUAGGCUUGACAUCCCUGGAAUUUUGUGGAAACACAAAAGUGCCUUUCGGGGAACCAGGAGACAGGUGCUGCAUGGCUGCCGUCAGCUCGUGUCGUGAGAUGUUGGGUUAAGUCCCGCAACGAGCGCAACCCUUGUCAUUAGUUGCUACAUUCAGUUGGGCACUCUAAUGAGACUGCCGGUGACAAACCGGAGGAAGGUGGGGAUGACGUCAAGUCCUCAUGGCCCUUAUAGGUGGGGCUACACACGUCAUACAAUGGAUGGUACAAAGGGUCGCCAACCCGCGAGGGGGAGCCAAUCCCAUAAAGCCAUUCGUAGUCCGGAUCGCAGUCUGCAACUCGACUGCGUGAAGUCGGAAUCGCUAGUAAUCGUGGAUCAGAAUGUCACGGUGAAUACGUUCCCGGGUCUU
rnacentral:rRNA from 1 species